GAUGAAGAACGCAGUGAAAUGCGAUAAGUAAUGUGAAUUGCAGAAUUCAGUGAAUCAUCGAGUCUUUGAACGCACAUUGCGCCCCCUGGUAUUCCGGGGGGCAUGCCUGUCCGAGCGUCAUUGCUGCCCUCAAGCACGGCUUGUGUGUUGGGCCGUCGUCCCCCUCCUAGGGGACGGGCCCGAAAGGCAGCGGCGGCACCGCGUCCGGUCCUCGAGCGUAUGGGGCUUCGUCACCCGCUCCGUAGGCCCGGCCGGCGCUUGCCGACGACCAUCAAUCUCUUUCUCCAGGUUGACCUCGGAUCAGGUAGGGAUACCCGCUGAACUUAAGCAUAUCAAUAAGCGGAGGA
rnacentral:misc_RNA from 1 species